rnacentral:rRNA from 1 species
AUGUAUGCAAUCAAUGGUUGUUUGGUACCAGAAUUCCUGUUAUUGCUUUCUGUUAACAUGCUCCUGUUUUUGUUUAACACAGCCAUGGCAGGAAUGGCACCAGAGGGUUCCCAGUUUGAUGCUAAGCAGUAUGACAGCAAGAUGACCGAGUUACUGAACCAAGGUGACACCGGGGAGUUUUUCACCUCGUAUGAUGAGGUGCACGAAAGUUUUGAUGACAUGGGCCUCCAAGAGAACCUUCUUAGAGGCAUCUACGCUUAUGGUUUUGAGAAGCCAUCAGCCAUUCAGCAAAGAGGAAUUGUUCCCUUCUGCAAGGGUCUUGAUGUGAUUCAGCAAGCUCAGUCUGGAACAGGAAAAACUGCCACCUUCUGUUCUGGAAUCUUGCAGCAGCUUGACUAUGGAUUGGUUGAGUGCCAGGCAUUGGUCCUUGCUCCGACCCGUGAGCUUGCACAGCAGAUUGAGAAGGUCAUGCGUGCUCUUGGUGACUACUUAGGUGUCAAGGUGCAUGCAUGUGUUGGUGGAACUUCUGUUCGUGAGGACCAAAGGAUUCUUGCCAGUGGUGUGCAUGUUGUUGUCGGCACACCUGGUCGUGUGUUCGAUAUGUUGCGCAGGCAAUCCCUCCGUCCAGAUAACAUCAAGAUGUUUGUGUUGGAUGAAGCUGAUGAAAUGCUUUCACGUGGUUUCAAGGAUCAGAUCUAUGAUAUCUUCCAGCUUCUUCCAUCAAAGAUUCAGGUUGGGGUGUUCUCAGCAACCAUGCCUCCUGAGGCCCUUGAGAUAACCCGCAAGUUCAUGAACAAGCCUGUGAGGAUUCUUGUCAAGAGAGAUGAGCUUACCCUUGAGGGUAUCAAACAAUUCUAUGUCAAUGUGGAGAAGGAAGAGUGGAAGCUGGAUACACUCUGUGACCUGUACGAGACCCUGGCAAUUACCCAGAGUGUCAUCUUUGUGAACACCCGCCGCAAGGUGGACUGGCUCACCGACAAGAUGAGGGGACGGGACCACACUGUCUCUGCCACGCACGGAGAUAUGGACCAGAACACUAGGGACAUCAUCAUGAGGGAGUUCAGAUCUGGAUCUUCUCGUGUGCUCAUCACCACCGACCUGCUGGCCCGUGGUAUUGAUGUGCAGCAAGUCUCCCUUGUCAUCAACUAUGACCUGCCGACUCAGCCUGAGAAUUACCUCCAUCGCAUUGGUCGUAGUGGUCGGUUCGGGAGGAAGGGAGUUGCCAUCAACUUUGUCACCCGUGAAGAUGAGAGGAUGCUGUUCGACAUCCAGAAGUUCUACAACGUGGUCAUUGAGGAGCUCCCGGCCAAUGUCGCUGACCUUCUCUAG